rnacentral:lncRNA from 1 species
CGCGUCCCUGCGCACCAAUCGUGGGCGCGCUCGGACGCCCCUCCCCCGGGAUCCCUCCUGGGCCCACCCCCCACCUGCGAGCACUUGGGGAUCUAAAAGCUACAGGUGGGGACACCUCUGACCCCGCCCUGGGAGGCGGAAAAAGCCUUCAACCUGGCCUUGAGCAGGGCUGCUGGGACUUGAGUGGAGCUCUCAAAACCCCCAGCUCUUUUGAAAGAGCCGAGGACUGGGACGGAAAGGACGCAGGGGACUGAGUUCUAACCCCGGAACAGAUGAUCAUCUUUCUGAACCCGUUUCCCUUCUCUGUAAAAUGGGAAUGAUUCCCUCCUGACAAGAAUGAAAGGAGACCCAAACCGCGCUUUUUGCGUUUCACACACAAACGGAAUUCCGAACAGGCCACUGUUUCAAAGCUUGUGUAGAGAAUUUUACCCUGCUCCAUUGAAGAUGUCUUCCUCCAGAGAGCCUGAUCCAGUCCCACCGUUUCGCACCAAGGAUGGAAAUGGCUUUGAGACAUGAGAACUGGAGACCACUAAGGCCUUUCUUGGUACUGGCUCAUAUUACCAAGACCCCUUUUCCUGGGAUAUUCCCUGUCCCUCUGCUAAGCCAUUACACAUCCAUUACACCAGGGAGGUUCACUGAGUUACUUGUGGCUCAGCCUAAAUGCGGACAAUUGGGAACUAAUAGCAGAGCAAGACCUAAACAGAGCAAGACUGUGAAUCUGAGCUUGCAGCGUCAAUCUGUGGUAUAGGGACAUUAAAAACAACACAAAAACAAAACAACUACUCCACUGAGCACCAAUACUUCACUUUUCCUCUGAUAGGACUUUCCUGGUCUCACUGAUCCAACAGAGCAGGUAGGCCCCCACUGACUUUUGGUUGAGUGUGGCUUCAACAGGUGGAACAGCUCCUAAACUAGGGACAGAAGGUGCCCAUCUGGCUGUCCAGCCUCAGAGUAGCAAGGAAGCACUAAUUCUAAUCUUGGGCUAAAAAAGACCCCUCUAUCCUGAUAUUUUUCUCUCCUUGUGGUAAUGUGGAUGUUUUCAGAAGGGGCAAAUCCUGUGAGGAACCAGCUCUGCAGGCCACCAUACAGUGUGAGGACAGCAGAUGGACAAACAGAUGGACUCUACAGCUAAGUGGAAUAUCAAAGGUAGAGGGGUGAUUCUGUGAGACUGAUAGGCCUGACUAUUCUCAAUUCUCCCCACUGCAGUGUU